rnacentral:rRNA from 2 species
CACGCAGGCGGUUGGAUAAGUCAGAUGUGAAAGCCCCGGGCUCAACCUGGGAACUGCAUUUGAAACUGUCUGACUAGAGUCUUGUAGAGGGGGUAGAAUUCCAGGUGUAGCGGUGAAAUGCGUAGAGAUCUGGAGGAAUACCGGUGGCGAAGGCGGCCCCCUGGACAAAGACUGACGCUCAGGUGCGAAAGCGUGGGGAGCAAACA